rnacentral:lncRNA from 1 species
UACAGGUUACUUUUUAUUUUAUCUUACUAAACUUAAAGCCCUAUAACAAAACAAUAGCUGGCCCAUUAAAUACUUCUCCAGCCCAUUAUCUCUAAAGUCUAAACCCUAUUUCCUAAUUCUCGUUCUUCUCUUGCCAAGCGCCGCUCCACAUGUGAAGAAUCUAUUAUCAAUUUCCUCUCAGAAUAGCGCCGCUUUUCCCGUCAUCCUUGCGGAGAGCAGCUAUGGUGCUUUCUUCUUCGUCAAAUCGCCGGCAAACAACUAAGGAAGAGAACAACCCUUGUUUACUUACAUAGCUGCGCUAUUCUGCUUCCUCUGUCGAAUGGCCGAUGAAAUAAUAUUUAUGAACACCUUACUUUUGUUCUUUCUUCACCCUCAUCUAUUUUGUAUUUUAUUUCUCGAUCGAACAAUAGGUAAUAUUCUAAUUCAUUAUUUUUUUGUGAUUUGAGAGCAGAUUUUGUAUUUUAAGAAUUACUUCUGGGUAAUUUCCGAAAAAAAUCAAAUAAAUUCCGAAAAUUUCCUAAAAUUUUCCAAACAUUUCCGAAAAAUAAAUAUUCCGAAAAAUUCCGAAAUUCCAAAAAUUCCGAAAAAAUCGGAAUCGGAAUUCAUAUUAUGAUUCCGAAAAAAUUGGAAUCGGAAUCGGAAUCCACAAAGUAGUUCCGAAAAAAAUCGGAAAUUUUCCGAAAGGGCUGUUUCCGAUCCGAUCCGUCCGAUUUCCACCCCUAACUGUGGUAUACUAUAGUUAUGUGUAGUAAAUUUCAGUACAAUAAAUUUAUCAAAAAAAAAAAUUUAAAAAAAUUUAAAAAAUAAAAAAAUAAAUAAAAAAAGUAAAUAAAAUAAAU